AUGAGGAGAUGGGUCCGCGCGCUGUGGCUACAGCCUGCGGACAGCGCAUUCGCACAGGUGCUGCGGCCGGACGGCUCGCUCCCUGUUCAGCGGGCACGAGCGCGACGUCUAAACAGCUCGUUGUUUUUACAACUGCUAGUUGUGGUACGUCUCCUACGCUCGCUGAGCCUCCUCCCUUUCGUGGGAAGCCCCCCUUGGUUCACACGCAGUGUGAAGGCGGUAGGGGCAGAGGAAUACGGGUUAUUCCUGGACGGUCUUCCUCAGCUGUCGGCUCGCCCUCUCUCCAACCGCAAUGCGUGUUGGCAAGAGCGGUGCGUUCUGCCAUCGUGGUUGGACACCACGUUGAGAUGGGGCCAUCCCAUACAGUUCAAGCGUCGUCCCCCACCCUUUAUGGGGUUGGUGGAGACCACGCUACGGGACCCGGCUGCGAGCACGGCUCUGGCAGCAGAGGUGGCACUUCUCUUGGUAAAGGGGGCCAUCACUGUCGUUCCCCCCCACGAGUCUCACCUAGGUUUUUAUUCCCGCUACUUCCUGGUUUCCAAGAAGUCAGGGGAAAUGAGACCUAUUCUGGAUCUUCGUGUGUUCAACAGAUUCGUUGCCACGAGGAAGUUCAGAAUGCUCACGGUCGGAGCAUUGUUCCGGUGUGUGAGAGAGGACGAUUGGUUCACAUCCCUGGAUCUCAAGGAUGCUUACUUCCACGUCCCUGUUCGGCAGGCGCACAGGAAGUUUCUCCGCUUUGCCUUUAUGGGGAUGGCGUACGAGUACCAGUGUCUGCCGUUCGGCUAUUCCCUGGCUCCGCGCACCUUCUCGAAGUGUGUGGAGACGGCGUUGGAACCGCUCAGACGUCAGGGAAAGAGGAUUCUCUUCUACCUAGACGAUCUGCUUAUUCUGAGCAACUCAGAAGAGACCGCGAGAAGGGACACCAUGUUGGUGAUAAACCAUCUCUCCUUCCUGGGUUUUGCCAUCAACUGGGAGAAGAGCUCCCCGCUCCCCAGCCGGCAGACAGUCUACUUGGGGCUUUGCCUAGACUCAGCCACCAUGACUGCGAUGCUUUCGCCUCCUCGGCGAGACGCCAUCCUGUCGGCGCUCUCCCGUUUUCACGUUCGCAGAAACGUGACCGCACUGUCCACCAUGCGCCUGUUGGGGCUGAUGGCAGCUGCCCACCCCGUGGUCCCCCUGGGUCUGCUUUUUAUGCGCAGACUCCAGCGGUGGUUUGCUCGCAAACGGUUGGACCCCAGGCGACACAAGCUCAGGGUGCUCCUCGUCCCCCGUUCGGUGUCGCCAGACCUGGAAUAUUGGAAAGGACCCUCCGCCCUUCUCAAGUGUUCCACUGGGCAGGGUGGCGUCCUACGUAGUGGUCUUCACGGACGCCUCGUUGACGGGUUGGGGAGGAACGUGCCUCUCUCACUCGGUCGGAGACGAGUGGCGCACGCCCCCUACAGCACACAUAAAUGUGUUGGAGCUCGACGCUGUGAGGAAAGUGCUGUUGCAUUUCUUUCACCUGGUGCGCGGCCGCCACGUUCUGAUCAGGACAGACAGCGUGUCGGCGGCGGCGUACAUCAACAGACAGGGGGGAGUCCGCUCCCCUGCUCUCCACCGAAAGGCGGUCGAGCUCUGGCUUUGGGCUCAUCAGUAUCUCCGCAGUCUGAGAGCCCUGCAUAUCGCGGGCGCCCAGAACUUUGGGGCGGACCUCAUGUCUCGAGGCGGUCCCCGCCGAGACGAGUGGCGGUUACAUCCCGACAUUGUCAGACUGAUCUGGCAGAGGUUCGGGACAGCGCAGGUGGACCUCUUCGCGUCCCGGGAGAACACGCACUGCAGGUGGUGGUUGUCCCUCAGCCCUCGGGAUCUUCCCCCGUUGGGGGUAGAUGCGUUGGCACACACACCUUGGCCGCGGGCUCUCUUGUAUGCGUUUCCCCCGCUCCAGCUGAUCCUUCCUCUUCUGGAACGGGUCAGACAGGAGAGACUGUCCCUGAUAUUAGUGGCCCCGGAGAACCGUUCAGCUCUGUGGUUUCCAGAGCUUGCCGCGCUCUCGCGGUCGGCGCCUUGGCCAAUACCAUUCAGGCCGGAUGCGCUUUCACAGGCCCACGGGACGGUGCACCACCCGCCCGAUGUCUCGGGACGGCUGUUGGUUUGGCUCCUGAGAGGUUGAUCCUGCAGGGCAAAGGUUUGCCUGAGACGGUUAUCAACACUAUUCAGAGUGCUCGUGCGCCGUCUACUUCUUCCCUCUAUGCGGCGAAGUGGUGCGCCUUCUCUAAUUGGUGUGAGACGAACCACGCUGUCCCAUCUCAAUGCGAGGUGGGAAGCGUGCUUUCGUUUCUGCAAAACUUAUUGGAAAAAGGUUUGGCCUUCUCCACUAUCAAGGUCUAUGCGGCAGCCGUUUCGGCUGGCCAUGCAGGCUGUGAUGGGGGACCGAUCUUCAGCCAUCCACUGGUCAAGAGAUUCUUGCGUGGGGCUAGACGGGUUAGGCCUGUUUCACGCGUGCUUACACCACGCUGGGAUCUCCCCACCGUGUUGCGCGGAUUGUCCAGGGAUCCUUUCGAGCCUCUCUCCCAGGCCCCUUUGGAUGCCCUGUCAUUUAAGACGGCGCUCUUGUUGGCCUUGGUUUCUGCCAAGCGGGCCGGUGAGCUAACCGCUCUGUCUGUCAGCCCGAGUUGCUUGUUGCUAAACGAGGACAGCUCCUUCGCGUUGCUCAGACCUAAUCCUGCGUUCCUCCCGAAGAACAUUAAUAGUUAUUUUCGGUCGAGGGAUAUUGUGCUUAAGGCUUUUCACCCCCCGCCUCAUUCUAGUGAGGCGGAGGCGGAGUUGCAUCUCCUGUGCCCGGUUCGGGCGUUGGCUAUGUACGUGAAUCGCUCGGCAGCGUUCCGCUCCACACAACAGUUGUUUGUGUGUUAUAGCGACGCUAGCAGGGGCCGCGCUCUCUCUAAGCAGCGGUUUUCUCGCUGGGUAUGUGAGGGUGUUUGCCUAGCCUACUCUCGGCAGGGCUUGGCGCCACCGUUGGGCGUUAAAGCUCACUCCACACGGAGCGUGGCCGCUUCAACGGCUCUACUCAAGGGCGUUUCGGCGGAAGACAUCUGCGCGGCUGCGUCUUGGUCUUCCCCCGGCCCCUUUGUCCGUUUUUACAUGUUAGACAUGUCCAGGGGCUCACUCGAAAACUCUGUGCUAGAGUCCGGGACCCCUUUUACGGCUUAA
ensembl:lncRNA